UUUCCGUAGGUGAACCUGCGGAAGGAUCAUUAUUGUAUAACCGAGGUGCGAGGGCCGUCGCUGACCCGAAAGGUCGUGCACGCCCGAGUGCCCUCACACACAUCCAUCUCACCCUUAUGUGCACCACCGCGUGGGUCCCCCUUUGGCUUGUUCGGAGGGGGGCUUACGUUUUCACACAAACUUUGUAUGCAGUGUAGAAUGUAUUUUUUGUUUUUGCGAUCACGCAAUCAAUACAACUUUCAACAACGGAUCUCUUGGCUCUC
rnacentral:misc_RNA from 1 species